AGUCACCGACGCGGCCUCCAGGCCAUGGACCAGCAGCGUCACCGGCCAAGGACCAGCAGCAUCUUUUUUCCUUUCAUUUUUUUAAGCCAAACAAGAUGCGCAGAGGAUCUAAGGACGAAAGCCAUCUUCUUUACCAGGCCACAGAUCUUGAAAAAAGAGCCAUAUUAUUUGCCUUUGAUUGGCCAUGCGGUGUCAUGAGCCAGCCGCCUCAGGCCCGCGUCGCUCCUUCAUGGCCGUCAUCACCUUCGCCGGCGUUGCGCCCCUUGUCCGCGACCGUCGU
rnacentral:lncRNA from 1 species